AUGGACUCACCCUCACACCCGAGGUCUCUCACAUACACACAGAGUCUCCCUCACACUAACAGCACCACCUUCACACUCAGGGUCUUACACACUCACAGACUCACCCUCAGAAUCAGGGUUUCACCCACAUGCAGCCUCCUUCUAGUCCAGGAUGUCUGUUUCUCUGUCCCUCUCUCUCUCACACACACAUACUCAAACAGAGUCUCCCUUACAAGGUUUCUCCCAUACUCUCAGCGUCAUCUCACACCCGGUCUUGCACACUCACAGUCGCCCUCAGACUCGGAGUCUCUCUCUCACACACGGAGUCUUUCUCCCACGCUCAGUCUUACACUCAAGGUCUCCCACACUCCUGGAGUCACCCUCACGCUCAAGGUCCCUCUUACACGCCAGCGUCACCCUCCGGCACGCUCUCACUCGCAGCGGCUCUCACGUGCCCCCGCCCACCCUGCUCCGCGUUUCCGGUCCCGCAUCCCGCACGCGGCGGCGGCGGCGCCGAGAGGCCGGCCCCACAGGGUGCGGGCCCGGCUGGCCCCGGCCCGGCUACCCCGGCGCGCCCGCCAGCGGCCCGUUACCUCACGGUGGCCAGUCGCCGCCAGGAUGCUCUGUCGCACUGCCGCCCCGGCCUCGCGGCUGCUCAAGCCCCGCCCCCGCCACGUCACCCGCCGCCGGAUCGCGACAGCGCGCGGCGUCGGGACAGGGCGCCCGGCUCCGCGCGGGGCCGACGGGCGGCGGCGCUUCCGGGCCCCAGGGGCCGCCGCGGCCUCAGGGAUCCGGCGGGCUGCGCUCCGGCGCCGGAGAUGCGGUCCCAGCGUCUGUGGGCCACGCCGGGGCCCAGCUACCCCCGCUGACUGGAUGGCUGCUCCUCACCCUGCACAGAGGCACUCCGGGCCUCCGAGGGACACAAUAUGGGGACGCUCCCGCGGAACGGCCCCCACCCCCCGUUCCUAUAUGGCCCUUGGCCUAGGCCCCGCACCCAGGGGGACCCCAUACAGCUCACACAAGGAGCCCUAA
rnacentral:lncRNA from 1 species